UUUAGGUGCUAUGAGAGCAUGCUCUAUCUACCACUGAAUAAGGAUGAGCUCUUUUCCUUGUGAAAGCUUGGCCAAGGUCAUCCUCUUGCUUGGAAUGCUAGGACUGCAUAAUAAUAUUUAUUUCAGACCCAUAGAGUUAUCCCAAGUCAAGCUGCCGCCUUGGAGUGCUGUCAGAACCAGAUCUGGUGUCCACUGAAUCUCUGCCUCUUUUUCUUCUCCUGGUUACCCUGCAUCGGGGGACAGAAGGAGCCCUAGGAUGAUACUAUUUCAGCCCACCCUCUCUUUUUCAAGAAAACCUACCCUUAAUCUAUGAAGGCAACUUUUCUUCUAAGGAUAACAAAGUGGUGAAAAGAAGAUAAUUGACCAGAAAAUCCAAGUGGGUUGAAUGGAUACCCUCUAUUUACUCAGAGGAGAAAGCUGCCUAUGGUAAAUGGUUAUGGCUAAAUUAUAUAGGAAAAUUAAUAUAAAUAUGUAGGAAG